CCAAAUUCAAGCUUUUACAGAGCAAAAAAAGCUUUUCGCUCAAAAUUUGCCCCAAAAUCACCCAAUCGUCCCAAGGGAAACUCUCGUUAAAACUACAAAGAUGCAACAACAUUAAAUGGGUGGGUAAGGUUUUCUCUCUACGAGAAUACUGGAGUCCAAGUCGGAGUCGGGAAUGAAGGUUUCUCGAGAGUUUACUGAUGCAAGGUUUCUCCCUUCUAAUUUGGGUUUUUG
rnacentral:lncRNA from 1 species